UAUCUAUAAUGUGGGCAAGAAUUUAAAAGAUCCUUGAAUAUUUUCCAGCAUUGGAAGAAGGUUUCUUCUUCUUUCUGCGAAAAAUUCAUGAUCGCCCUCUUUAGAGU